rnacentral:rRNA from 1 species
UACGAGGGGGGCGAGCGUUGUUCGGAAUUAUUGGGCGUAAAGGGUGCGUAGGCGGUUCCGCAAGUCCUGUGUGAAAUCUUCGGGCUCAACUCCAGAACUGCCUUUGAUACUGAGGAUCUUGAGUUCGGGAGAGGUGAGUGGAACUGCGAGUGUAGAGGUGAAAUUCGUAGAUAUUCGCAAGAACACCGGUGGCGAAGGCGGCUCACUGGCUCAUUACUGACGCUCAGGCGCGACAGCGUGGGGAGCAAACAGG